AUUGAACGCCGGCGGAAUGCUUUACACAUGCAAGUCGAGCGGCAGCGCGGGGCAACUUGGCGGCGAGCGGCGAACGGGUGAGUAAUGCAUCGGAACGUACCCUGUCGUGGGGGAUAACUAUCCGAAAGGAUAGCUAAUACCGCAUACGACCUGAGGGUGAAAGCGGGGGACCGAAAGGCCUCGCGCGAUGGGAGCGGCCGAUGUCGGAUUAGCUAGUUGGUGAGGUAAAGGCUCACCAAGGCGACGAUCCGUAGCGGGUCUGAGAGGACGACCCGCCACACUGGAACUGAGACACGGUCCAGACUCCUACGGGAGGCAGCAGUGGGGAAUUUUGGACAAUGGGCGCAAGCCUGAUCCAGCCAUUCCGCGUGAGUGAAGAAGGCCUUCGGGUUGUAAAGCUCUUUCGGCAGGGAAGAAACGGUGUGGGCUAAUACCCUGCAUUAAUGACGGUACCUGAAGAAGAAGCACCGGCUAACUACGUGCCAGCAGCCGCGGUAACAC
rnacentral:rRNA from 1 species